CCUUUAUCCAUUCCCUCUGCAAAUGUGUGUGUGUAUAUAUAUAUGUAUAUAUAUAUACAUAUAUAUAUACACACACACACAUUUGCAGAGGGAAUGGAUAAUGG